UACGGUGGGGGCUAGCGUUGUUCGGAAUUACUGGGCGUAAAGCGCACGUAGGCGGCUUUGUAAGUUAGAGGUGAAAGCCCGGGGCUCAACUCCGGAAUUGCCUUUAAGACUGCAUCGCUAGAAUUGUGGAGAGGUAAGUGGAAUUCCGAGUGUAGAGGUGAAAUUCGUAGAUAUUCGGAAGAACACCAGUGGCGAAGGCGACUUACUGGACACAUAUUGACGCUGAGGUGCGAAAGCGUGGGGAGCAAACAGG
rnacentral:rRNA from 1 species